rnacentral:rRNA from 1 species
UUAUUUAGAAUUUAAUGUUAUUUAUUACUUAUUGUUAAAUUUAUAGAAAUAACUUUAUUUUUAGUAUUAUUUUAUAGAACAAAUUAUUAAUAUUUAUAGUUUAUUUUACUGUGAAGGUUUAUUUACUUAAUAUCUUAUAAGUAGAAUUUAUUUUUUGUACCUUUUGUGUCAGGGUUUAUUUACAAUUAUUUAAUUUAUUUAUUAAAAUCCCGAAAUUAAAAGAGUUACUAAUUAUUGUUUAUUAAUGUUUCAUAAUUAUUUUUAAAUAAUUAGUAGAGGCUAUAUGCUAUUCAAUUUUAAAUAUCUGGUUUCUUAAUACUUGAAUUUAAUUCAUAAUUUAAUUUUUUAAUAAAUACUUUAAUUUUUAUUAAAAUUAUAAAUUAAAGUUUAUAAGGGAUAAGCUUUAUUUACUUUUUAUACUUUUAUGUAAAUUUAAUAUUUUGUAGGAUUAAUAAUUUCCAUCUUAAUUAUUUUGUAAUAAUUAUGUAUUAAAUGUUUUUUAUUUAAUUGAUAGUUAAAUUUUUAUUAAGAAUUAUUAAAAAAUGUUAUUUUAUUAUUUAUAAUGAUAAAAUUAGUAGGUUAUUUAAUUGGUAUAUAGUAAUUCGGCAAACUUAUUCUUCACCUGUUUAACAAAAACAUGUCUUAAUGUAAAAUAUUUAUUAAGUCUAACCUGCUCAAUGAUUUUAUUAUUAAAUAGCCGCAGUAUUUUGACUGUGCGAAGGUAGCAUAAUCAUUUGUCUUUUAAUUGGGGACUGGUAUGAAUGGUUUUAUGAGGGAAUAACUUUCUUUAUAUUAAUUUUUGAAUUUAAUUUUUUAGUUAAAAAGCUUAAAUUAUUAAAUGGGACGAGAAGACCCUAUAGAAUUUUAUUAUUUAUAAAUUUAUUGUAUAAUUUGGAUUAUAUUUUACUUUAAAAAUUUAAAUAAUUUUGUUGGGGCGACAUUGAGAUUUUUUUAACUCUCAUAUUAUAUUUUUUAUUCAUAUUUAUAUUUUAGGAUCCUUAAAUUAUGGAUAUUUAGUUUAAAUUACCUUAGGGAUAACAGCGUAAUUUUUUUGGAGAGUUCUUAUCAAUAAAAGAGUUUGCGACCUCGAUGUUGGAUUAAAAUUAGAUUUGAGUGCAGAAGCUUUAUUUCUAGGUCUGUUCGACCUUUAAUUUUUUACAUGAUCUGAGUUCAGACCGGCGUGAGCCAGGUUGGUUUCUAUCUAUUUUUUAAUUUUAUAAUUUAGUACGAAAGGACCAAUUAUAACAAAUAUUUUGUUAAAUAUCUGAAUAUUUUUAAAAUA